UUUUAUGAUUAUCACUUUCCGCUGCCGAAGCCAACGUGAAUCGCUGCGAAGAGUUCAAGUCGGUAGUCGUUGCAUGUGUCGUUCUCGUUAGUUGUUUCUGUUGUGAGGAUAUGUUUGCCCAGAAUUUACAAGACAUGUCCUCAAUUUGUUCUUCUCUGCGACUUCUCUUGCCUCCUUGGAGACGCAAGAAUGCUCGCCUCUUGGUCCUCUUGCGUUCGAGGAGACGGCCUUCCCUCAUCAUCCGAGCAAUUUCUUCUUCUUCCUCCUCGGAGAGCGACGAUGCAGCGCCGAAGCCCAGGCGGAGCCAGGUGGGUUAUGAUCCGGCCGAGGAGUUACUGGGGCUGGAGGUCGAUUUGCCCUCAAGGAAUGCCAUUUCUGGCACACCCCGACCAAGGUCCUGGUUUGGCCCUAAUGGCCAGUAUAUGAGAGAGCUACCUUGCCCAAGUUGUCGUGGAAGGGGUUAUACUCCUUGUACUGAUUGCGGGAUUGAAAGAUCAAGACUGGACUGUUCACUGUGCAAUGGAAAGGGUAUAGUGACCUGCCAUCGGUGCGUGGGCGAAUGUGUUAUAUGGGAAGAAUCAAUUGAUGAACAACCAUGGGAGAAAGCCCGAUCCAUUUCUCCAUUUAAAGUAAAGGAGGAUGAUGAAGUUGAUAAUCUAGACAUAAAGCUGGAUGUAAGGAAGAAGUCAAAGCGAGUAUACCAGUCAACAUCUCCUGAAGUUGGUCUGAAGAUCAGCCGAGCACUUAAAAGUCUCAAUGAGAAAACUGGACUAUUUAGCAACAGAAUGAAGAUUAUUCACCGUGAUCCCAUGCUUCAUGCACAAAGAGUGGCUGCAAUCAAGAAAGCCAAAGGAACUCCUGCAGCGAGGAAACAUGCUUCUGAACUGCAGAAAGUUUUUUUCAGUGAUCCUGAGAACCGCCGCAAGAGGAGCAUGGCCAUGAAAGGUAAGUUUCUAUAAGAUAUUGGAUUUAUUUAGUUUUAAAUAGUCAUUCAUGUGAAUUUUGAUCCUCUACAUUGUGGCAUGAUCUUCUAGAAGAUUUUCUCCAAUAUUAUGACAGCAUGUGUUUCCUUAGUGAACACCUUUAAGUUAUCAACAGGUAAGUGUGUUCUGCACCUAGACUGAUGAGGAAGACUACCAUCUCCUCCAGAUGAAUUCAUAAUCUGCAGAUUCUCUCCUUGAAGCACAAAGAAAUAAGGAGAUAGAGGGGAUUUUCCUUUCUCGACCUUCCAUCAGCAACACUCCCUCUUAAAUUCAUUGACUGCUGAUCCCCAAGCUGGCAAAUGAUUUAGAUCAGGCAUUAAAUUUUACUGCUCGUACUGUGGACGCGAAGGACAUAGGAGGCAUUAUUGUCCUGAACAUAGGGACAGUUUGAUCGACAGGCGUUUCAGAUGUCGCGUCUGUGGAGAAAAGGGCCAUAAUAGAAGAACUUGUGAAA